GAAAUGCGAUAAGUAGUGUGAAUUGCAGAAUUCAGUGAAUCAUCGAAUCUUUGAACGCACAUUGCACCCCUUGGUAUUCCAUGGGGCAUGCCUGUUCGAGCGUCAUUUGUACCCUCAAGCUCUGCUUGGUGUUGGGUGUUUGUCCCGUCUCCGCGCGUGGACUCGCCCCAAAGUGAUUGGCAGCCGGCGUACUGGUCCCGGACCGCAGCACAUGUCGCGCAAACGAGUGCCUUGGUACGGCGGCGUCCAUAAGCCCCUCUCUCACGCUCUUGACCUCGGAUCAGGUAGGGAUACCCGCUGAACUUAAGC
rnacentral:misc_RNA from 1 species